UCUGUGGUCGGCCAUGCUUUG
rnacentral:misc_RNA from 1 species